rnacentral:rRNA from 1 species
AUUGAACGCUGGCGGCAUGCCUUACACAUGCAAGUCGAACGGUAACAGGUCUUCGGAUGCUGACGAGUGGCGAACGGGUGAGUAAUACAUCGGAACGUGCCCGAUCGUGGGGGAUAACGAAGCGAAAGCUUUGCUAAUACCGCAUAAGAUCUAAGGAUGAAAGCAGGGGACCGCAAGGCCUUGCGCGAACGGAGCGGCCGAUGGCAGAUUAGGUAGUUGGUGGGAUAAAAGCUGACCAAGCCGACGAGCUGUAGCUGGUCUGAGAGGAGGACCAGCCACACUGUGACUGAGACACGGCCCAGACUCCUACGGGAGGCAGCAGUGGGGAAUUUUGUAUAAGGGGCGAAAGCCUGAUCCAGCCAUGCCGCGUGCAGGAUGAAGGCCUUCGGGUUGUAAACGUCUUUUGUACGGAACGAAAAGACUCUGGUUAAUACCUGGGGUCCAUGACGGUACCGUAAGAAUAAGCACCGGCUAACUACGUGCCAGCCGCCGCGGUAAGAC